rnacentral:lncRNA from 1 species
GACACUGAAAUGGGGGCUAAAAGCAGGCACCAAUUUGACAGUGUUUCCCCUGCACUUUUUUUUCAUCACAAUAUUCCACCUUUCAACAUAACUCAGUUUGGUAGAACCUUCCUCACUUUCCAGGGACUUGCUCCCAUGCAUCGAAGGCAAUUAUCAAGAGGCUGAAAGUGAUAUGAACUGAAUACACUGCAGAGGAGUUGAGACACCGAGAACAAGAAUUGCGAGACCAACAAGUCGCCACCUUUGCUCCCAAUCCUAUGCGGGUACUGUCCAGCCAUGCCAACAGAAGAGGAAUGUCUGUGCUGCAACGAAUUCGAUCACGGACAGUUCUUACUGGAGAGGGUCAAUGCAGACCCCAUGGAUCAUGUGUGUGUGUGACAGACCAUCAACGUUUCCUAUCGAUAUAGGGGUGCUGGAGACGUUCUAGACCAGCUGGACCAGGAGGGCAAAUGAUAAACAAUUAAGUUGCUUUGCUGUCAGUAGUUAGCUAGCAAUAUAAGCUCUCUUUUUCCACAAGGCAGUGUUGUUCAUUACAGUAGAAUUUUGUGAUCGAUUCGCC